rnacentral:rRNA from 1 species
GACGAACGCUGGCGGCGUGCUUAACACAUGCAAGUCGAACGGAAAGGCCCUGCUUUUGUGGGGUGCUCGAGUGGCGAACGGGUGAGUAACACGUGAGUAACCUGCCCUUGACUUUGGGAUAACUGCAGGAAACUGGGGCUAAUACCGGAUAGAAGCUCCUGCUGCAUGGUGGGGGUUGGAAAGUUUCGGCGGUUGGGGAUGGACUCGCGGCUUAUCAGCUUGUUGGUGGGGUAGUGGCUUACCAAGGCCUUGACGGGUAGCCGGCAUGAGAGGGUGACCGGCCACAUUGGGACUGAGGGACGGACCAGACUCCUACGGGAGGCAACAGUGGGGAAUAUUGCACAAUGGGCGGACGCCUGAGGCAGCAACGUCGCGUGCGGGAAGACGGCCUUCGGGUUGUGAACCGCUUGGGCCUGUGACGAAGGGUGAGUGACGGUAAUGGGUGAAGAAGCACCGGCUAACUACGUG